ACCAACCAAGUGGACAGAAACUCUCAACACAACCAAUCACCCCAGACUCACCCCUUCUCAUCCUGGAUGAUGAUAUCAACCAAAAGGUAUUUGAUUCCUUUUGGUUUUAGCCUUUUAGGACAUAGGUGUUGUGAGAACCCAACUUUUCUUUGGUAUAUGUGCUAUUUUCUCUUUUCUUACAUUACUUAUACAAACGUCAGCUACUUUCAUAAGGAAUCCAUUUGAUAGUUGAUUAGAAAGUAUUGAUUGAACCCAUACUAUAGUUAUCUUGUAUAGUAAUGCUUUUUCAAUACGUAAACCUAGCUCUGAAUUAUAAUAUGUGGUUAAUCAAAGUCCUGAUCUAUUGUUAUCUAAUUAUCAUGGUUCGCUGGCACCUAUUGGUCAUUUAGAUAAUGACAUUCAUGUUUGAUGUGACAUUUAUGUUAUCUCAAGUUCUGUUUAAUGUUUUUGUGCUUAUUCUAAUUCACUUUUAAAUUUUACAAAGUAUUAAAGUCCUUGCUACUUAAGAUGUACUUAAGACGGUCAACCAUAUAAGAUUGGUAGUGGAAAAUAUUGAAAUCUAAUCAUCUAACCUAUACUAAAAGGGUUAUAUGAGCAUCAGAGAGUGUGUCCACGUAGGACAAUAAAAUCAUCCAAUCAAAUUGUCUUAAGAUGCCAUGUCAGCUUAGUAAAAAAAAAAUCUACAAUGGCGAUUCCUUCUUCUUCUUCGACGCUUUUCCAGUGUCUCUAUCCAACUUCUCAGCCGUUUCAAGUUUUCUUCCAUGAUCUUUAUUUCACGAUUUUGUUCAAAGAUCAUAUGGACCCCUCAAUAUAUUCAAGUUAAUUUAGCCCAAAGCCUUAAUUGAAACCUAAAAGCAAGAUGUGUUCACGCCGUCGUCUUCCUCGAACAUCUUCGCUCUGAAACUGUGAUUAAGUUAGUCGCUAAUAGAGGUUGUUCACGUUUCAUAGACUCUUCCUUCUGCAAUCAUGGAGAUAAUUACUUUCGUUACGUUUCUAUGUCUAUGUCGGCGUCGUUUUGUUUUCGAUUAAUCUCCUCUUAGAUUCUUAAAUCUCUUCCUAGCGGUGGAUCUUCCAUUAUAAAAAGGUGCGGCUGCUCAGAAACGGAAAAGCGUGACGAGUUGAUGGGAGUUGACAUAAUCCUCUUCGAUGAUAAGUCGACACUCAUGCCAGCCACCGUAAUGUCAACCGUCUCGACACCUUCCGGCACCACCGUCUCAAGGCGGGUACUCUGUUCACUGUUAGCAGAUUCGAGGAUGUCUCAAUCGUCUCACCACCUUUCACUCUAUCCUCGCUCUCCUUCCUCCUCUCGAGAUCUUGCUCAUCAUGCUUUGUGGUGAUCACUUCUCUCGCUAUUUUCCUUCCUCACCAAUUCUCUUGGUAAAAUUUUGUAUCCUUUGCACUCAGGUACAUUAGUUGAUUGAAGCACUAACUAGGUAACCAUCUUAUGCUCUUUUAUUUUUGAACAACAAAAAGCUUGAAGCCUUAUCAAAUGGUAAAAAUCGAAGGCAUCUGAUGCAGGUUGGUAUUUUAACGAGGACAAAGUUUUGGACAGCUUAGUAUAGCCUCUUUUUUUUGUUUUCAUACAACUUUUUUGUGUUCAGACAACUUAGUAUAGCUUGGAAAUGAAAUUUAGAAUUAGCCAAUUAUGUAAGGAAUAUUUAUAUAUUACGGUCACUCUACACAAGGAUAUUGUUAUUGCUAUAUAAGAAAUAUACUGUUAAUAAUAUAUGAAGUCUUAGAAGCUUGAAUUUUUUUAGUAUUUGCAUUCAUUAGUUUUAUUGCAUCAUGCACAAAUGCUGUCAUAUAUAUAACAUGACUAAACUGUCUACUUGAAUUGUGUGCGCAACCAUCUUGACACCAAGCUCAUAUUGUUUAUUUUUUAUUUUUUACUUUCUAUUUGAUGCAAUUUAAUUUUGCUGUAGUUAAUGUCAAUUUUUUCAAUUUUUUGUUUUUUUUCUAAUACUUUUUUCUAUAUUAUAUGAUAGCUUUCUGUGAAAGAUGUUUCUAAUAACUGGAAAAUGGUUGGAACAGAUGUAGGAAACAAACUAUUCUUGAAAGAGCCAUCAUCCAAUGUAAUUUUGUUAGAUUGCAUUUCAUUCGAGUCCUGAGAAAUGCAAAGUUGUGACAUAUUUUGUCAGAUUACAUUUGAUUAUGUCUCCAAGUAAGCUAUAAUUUAUACACGACCUGAAGAUGAAAAUACAUGGAAGACAUGAGUGCUUUCUCUAUAUUUCUCUAACGUGCAAGAAUUUCUAUAUUUCUCUAACGUGCAAGAAUAUUUUUUCCCUACAAAUAAUAGGAAUCCUAAAUAAUAAUUUUGGGAACUUUUUUCUAAUAUUAGAUCAUUAUUUUUUAUUAAAACACAAUGAGCAGUGGACGACAUAUACAUGCAUAUGCUAGACAAUUAUCAUAAUUUAAUCUCCUAAAUUUUAAACCAACAAAGUGAAAAAUCUAACUAAAAAAAAUUUACAAUCCCCAUAAAAGAUCAUGACUAUUAACACAAAAAGUAUUAAAGACCAAGAACCAGAAAAUACUAUAAAAAAGCAAUACCAACAAAAUACAAGCUAGAAUGCACUUGACAUUUACAAUACCCAUAAAAGAUCAGGACUAAAAAUUGUAUACAAAAGGACAGAAUUCAAACAAAAAAUACAUUACAUCCAUACGCGAGGAACCGAUUCUAGACACCAUGCAUUUACGUUAGUA